UACACUCCUACGGGAGGCAGCAGUGGGGAAUUUUGGACAAUGGGCGAAAGCCUGAUCCAGCAAUGCCGCGUGAGUGAAGAAGGCCUUCGGGUUGUAAAGCUCUUUUGUCAGGGAAGAAACGGUGAGAGCUAAUAUCUUUUGCUAAUGACGGUACCUGAAGAAUAAGCACCGGCUAACUACGUGCCAGCAGCCGCGGUAAUACGUAGGGUGCAAGCGUUAAUCGGAAUUACUGGGCGUAAAGCGUGCGCAGGCGGUUUUGUAAGUCUGAUGUGAAAUCCCCGGGCUCAACCUGGGAAUUGCAUUGGAGACUGCAAGGCUAGAAUCUGGCAGAGGGGGGUAGAAUUCCACGUGUAGCAGUGAAAUGCGUAGAUAUGUGGAGGAACACCGAUGGCGAAGGCAGCCCCCUGGGUCAAGAUUGACGCUCAUGCACGAAAGCGUGGGGAGCAAACAGGAUUAGAAACCCCAGUAGUCCCA
rnacentral:rRNA from 1 species